AUAGCAAAGAGGUUACACCUGUACCCAUACCGAACACAGAAGUUAAGCUCUUUAGCGCCGAUAGUAGUUAGAGGUUUCUCUUGCAAGGGUAGGA
rnacentral:rRNA from 1 species